rnacentral:rRNA from 1 species
UGGGGGUUGGGGAGGGGGAGGAAAAUCGAACGGACCCCUUCGGGGGGAAGUCGACGGAAUGAGCGGCGGACGGGUGAGUAACACGUAAAGAACCUGCCCUCAGGUCUGGGAUAACCACGAGAAAUCGGGGCUAAUACCGGAUGGGUCAUCGGACCGCAUGGUCCGAGGAUGAAAGGCGCUUCGGCGUCCCCUGGGGAUGGCUUUGCGGUGCAUUAGCUAGUUGGGGGGGUAAUGGCCCACCAAGGCGACGAUGCAUAGCCGACCUGAGAGGGUGAUCGGCCACACUGGGACUGAAACACGGCCCAAACUCCUACGGGAGGCAGCAGUAGGGAAUCUUCCACAAUGGACGAAAGUCUGAUGGAGCAACGCCGCGUGAACGAUGAAGGCCUUCGGGUCGUAAAGUUCUGUUGUAAGGGAAAAACAAGUGCCGCAGGCAAUGGCGGCACCUUGACGGUACCUUGCGAGAAAGCCACGGCUAACUACGUGCCAGCAGCCGCGGUAAUACGUAGGUGGCAAGCGUUGUCCGGAAUUAUUGGGCGUAAAGCGCGCGCAGGCGGCCUCUUAAGUCUGAUGUGAAAGCCCCCGGCUCAACCGGGGAGGGCCAUUGGAAACUGGGAGGCUUGAGUAUAGGAGAGAAAAGUGGAAUUCCACGUGUAGCGGUGAA